AUCAUGCAGAUGAUUUGAAUGUUUUUAAGUGCUGACUGUGAGAUGUAAAUAUUUUACACUGGGUAGCGGGAUCUUCCCUUUCUCAGUUUCUAAACUAGGUGAGCCACUCACAGGGGAGUCUUUAGACUUCACAGACACAAGAUACAGGGAGGGAACCCUGACUGCUUGAGGCCACAGCUGUAGGAAGCGCAGCUGCUGAUGUCCAUCCAGUCUUGGUGCUCUGCUGUGCUUUGCACUUGGAAGUUCAUAUGUUAUCGGGGCCGGUGAAGGGACGCUGACCUCUCAGGGUGUGUGUGCAAUGGCCGCAGGCCUGCAGGUAGGUGUCUGCAUGACACCAGCCUCGGCACGGCCUGAUCCUUGUGCUUUGUCUCACGUGUUUGUACCGCUGCCUGCCAGCUCCACCAGCUCAGGGACAGCAGCCCCGGGGCCUGGACACCGUGCUGGUGGCCGAGAUCUGGCCCUCGGCCUCCCAGGAUGGCUGCGGCUCCCUCUCCCCGGCCCCAACACAGGCCCAGCAGCAUCCUGCCUGGCACAGGUGGCUGGGAGCUAGAGGCAAACCCCGGAGAGAGGCUCAAAACUGGUUGUGGAAGAGAAGCCGUGCGCUUCACGACGUGCUGUAGAAGCCUGAACUGCCCUCUAAGAGCAUGUCGGCCACUGUAAAAACUGCAGUAAAACACUGUAAAAACUGAGGCCGAGCCCCGCUGUCAGCCGGCAGGGUGCUGCAGUGCGGCGGGCAGGGCCCGGCUCGCCCCCGGCGGCGGACAGCGGGGCUGGGAUCCGCGGCUCACACACGGCCCCAGGCGGCCGCAGGCGAGCAGCCCCGUGUGGGGCCCGGCCCGGCCAGCGGGCGUCGCUGCCGCCCGCCCGCCGCUGAGGGAGGGCCGCCGGCGGCCGGGACGUGGCGGGAGCCUUCAAGACACGGUCCUGUCGCUGCGGCUGCCCGAGGACCCGGUGUGAGCACGGGGGUUGGUUUGGAAGGACGGGCUGCUGCUGCUGCUGCAAGAAGCCUCCCGAGCCGCCGCAGCGCUGGCCGAGCGAGGGCCCUGCCUGCCAUGCCCACAGUGCCGUGUGGCGCCCGGUCACGGGGCUCAACGCCACCCGAAGGACGCUGCCCUCCCUGUUCAGGGUUCUCUGUGAUGAAGUUCAAAAAGAAUUUUUGAAAAUGUUAAAGGUUCAGGUGUACUCAAGCCUUUAAUGGGUGGUUUCUCUCUCCAUUAGGAAUGCCUUUUCACACAAAACCGGCUUGCAUCCCAUUAGCGUUGCUCUGCUCAUGUUUUCAUACCACAGAAUACCCUAACGGCUUGUAAAAUUGAAGGCAUUUGGGAAACCCUUGCUGUGCUUGAGAAGACAGAGGGGGCACAGAGCAGAAUGGAAGAGCAGGGUGCCACAUGCCAGGGCAGGGAGCGGUGGGCACGGCAGUGCUGCCCCUCACUGAUGCAGUCCCCAUCCAGAGCAUUGGUCCCACAGGCAGGGCAUGGCCACACACGGCUCCAGUCAGGCUUUGGGGAGCAGCUGCAGGGGUCGAGAGCAGAUAAACUGUAAUAAACAAUUGAGUCUGAUCUCCUUCAUACUGAAACAAAUUGAAAAAAGCUCAGCAAACCCAUAUAACACGGCCCGCUGCUGAUUUCACAGCACCACACAAGUGUGGAGAGACCACCAGCUAACACCCUCCUGAGAAACAGCUAAUCGUUGCAUGCCUCGGCCUUUCCCAACACAUCCUGGUUCAUAAGUUCAUCGGCUUCAAAGUUGCAUCUGAUCAUUAACCCUGAAAGAUCAAAGAUUACUUAAGCGUUUAAACUGCGUGUUUGGGAUGGCUGAGACGCACAAAGGUCAGGCACAAAUCUGCGACCAAAAUCCGGGACAACCUUCCCAAAGUUCAGGAGGGAGAGUAAGGUUUAGGGGUUUGCUUCAGCCGGUUGCUGUCACCCAGCACCCAGCCUGGCUCUGUGGUCUGUGGGGAACAGGGACUUAGCUGGAGAGAAAAGGGAGUCCUGCAAGCCUUUCAUUUGUGCCAGGCUUGGCUGGAAAAAUGCUCUAUCCUUGGGGAUUUUCCCUGCCAUUUUCAUUCCUGCCAUGUGGUGGGCAGGAGGCUAUCCCUGCGGGCUGAGGCCCUGUCUCCUGAGCUCCUCGCUCCCCAGUUGGGCUGCUGGCCCUUGGCCCAACAGCAGGCACAAGGACACAGUGCCAGCUCGCUGCCAUGCUGGCACUGCCUCUGGGCAUAGCACAGCUUGGGCUUCUGUUUUUCACCUGCAGAAAUUGUACCAUAUUGCCUCAGAGGGCUGGCGUGUUCUCAGCACUGAAAACCAGAUUUUGCCAAAUUCCUAGUUGUUGCUCUUGGUACUUUAUGCUGUUAUGCUAACAGAAAAAUGCAUGUUAUUCCUCUUGCAAAAACAGAUAGGAUCACUCCUUUGACAAGGGUCAUCUUGUUUUCAGCUGCCUUGCUCUCCACAGAGAUUCCUAUCUGUCUCAGAAAUGUUGCUGUCAGCCUUUUAUGAGCAUGAAUUCAGUAGCACACUCCAAAGAAGCCCACUGUCCUCUCCCAGCCAGUCACUACCUGGUCCCCAAGCAGAUGCUGAUUUUGUGCAGGCAAAAAUACUCAUCUCAGUACUUUUGCCAGUACAAUGACUUUUGCACUUGCUGUCUUAGACAUAAAACCCAGACUUCCAUCACCAGUUCGCCUAGCUGGCUGCAAGCACAGCGUAGCAAAUGCCAAUGUGUAUGCAACUGGAAAGGUGAACUCUAUGGGGGAGCAGACUACUGGAACUGUGACUAGUGGUGUGCCACUGCGUACUGGGAUGUGAAACAGUCAGGGAUGUGAAGUGACCACAUAUAUUGCAUGAUGCACUUAAUUCGACAGGGAAAACAUGAGCAGUAAAAAUGUCAUUUGGUGCCUUGCUUCAGAGAUUUCACUCUAUGAAGAGCAAACCACCUUUGCUCCUGACCUGCUUUUGGCAAAUUAUCUGGUACUAGGGAGGAGAGAAGGUUUCACAAUGAUCGUACACAGGACUUCAUCUGUUUCUUCCCCUAUAACCCUCCAUCUUGGUUGUGAUAGGAUUGUACACUACAGCUGUAGGACUUGUAACUUGCAUGUGUUUCCCGUCCCAUUAUUCUCACAAGAUGCAUCCCUAUUCCCCAGGAUGGCACUGGCACACAGAGCUGGUGGCAGACCCUCCCCUGGCGGAGGCCGAUCCCCAGCACUGUGCACAGCCUCCUGCAGAGGAGCAAGGUGUGCUUAAGCCACUUUGGCUAAGCUCAGGUCAUGCAGCUGUGCUGCAGAGGACUAGAAUGUGGCUGGCAAGUUUAAGCCAGAGGGCUCUACCCCAGCGGCCACAGGGAGGCUAGCAGGGCUCCAGGUCUGUUUCUGAGUCACUGGGGCUGUGCUCUUUGCUCCAGUGCCCCAGUGUGCCAGGCACCAGCAGCUCCAAACAGACCCAGCAUUGCAUCAGGAAGAGCUGUUCAUCCAGGAGGGAAACAUCCCUAAGCCCUUUGGUUGUGAAAUGCAGGGACACAGACUGACAAAGGGUAAGGUAAAACCUGAGCUGAGGUGCAGUGUCUGGGCACUUAACACAGGGCUGUGCUGCGCGAGGAGCUGGGUGGCAGGAGGCAGUGAACAUGCUGUGCCACCUCCCCGGGCAGAGGCAGCAAAUUAGGAUUUAUCAAAAAUCCUAAUCUGGGGGAUAUUUUUACAAGGUUGAAGUCUUGCAUUGAAAACAGCUUUGAGGUGCCUAGCAGCAGGCUAUUCCAUCCUGUUUGGUCUGUGCCCUCUUCGCUUUCACCCUGCAGCUCUGUGCUUGGUGCCAGUCCCAUCCCCACUAUGCCAUGGCAGUGGGACGUGUGAGCAGUGGUGAAGCUGUACCAUACGUGCCCUACUGUAUAAGCCCCAUAAAACACUGGCACCACUUCGUAGAUUUUUUCCCCCUUUUUCUUGUAUUUUUUUUCUUUGUUUGAAUAUGUUGCAUGGCUUUAUUUAGCUUUUGGGGGUCCAGAAGGACUUGUACUAAAGAUGACAACUGAUUUCCAAAGGCGAGGCAAAUGAUGCAUGGCUGCAGGUCAGGAUCCAGAAGGCGCCCAAGUCUCAUCAGCCUGGAGGGCUUGGCACGCCGGCAGGGUGACUCUCCUGGCAGACAAAGCUGUGUGGCUCAUUGUCUUUCAGUGCACCACAGAAACAGGCUGUUAUUGACACCAGGCUUUGGAGCACAGACCAAGCCAGAGCAGGCAGCAAUCACUUUCGAAGGUCAUGCAUACAAUCUCUUUAUGGCAAGUUUGCCUUCCGUGACUGACAAAAGCAGGAUGGAUCAAAUGUCUUCCAACAGAUCUGCAUUAAAAAUGAAGUACUGUUGCUUGGAGAACUGACAGUCCCACCAGAAAUAAUACAGGCUGCUGACAGUCCUCGCUUCCCAAUAAACAGCAUCUUCCCAUGUUGUCAAAAGAGCUUCUUCGGGAUGGGAAUAAAUAAGCAAGUUAUUUGAAUACGUUAUUUGAGUGAAAAUGUUAAUGGCAAAGAGACAGAAAUCACAUUGCUCUGUUGUAAAAAUACACUGUGGCUUAAAAAUGCAUUCCUGUUUCUCGUAUAUAUGAAAAUAUAUGUGUAUGUAUAAACACAAUAGAUAUGUGUAUCUAUGCAUAUCUCCCUAUAUUUAUACGUAAUUAUAUGCAUGUGCUGCGCCCAUGCCAGUAGCUAAAAAUACUCAGCAACCAGUCCCCCUCCUCAGAACACGUUUGGUGUGAGGCACUGGGGGCUCCUGUGCAAGGGCUGACUGCAUCCCUUUCCCAUACGUGCAGGUUGUAACUUAGCAACCGCUGCUGUAUGCUCAGAAGACAAUAUUUCAAAGCUAAUUGUUGCUGGCCUUAUUAAUGGCAACUGUCAUGGCUUCUGGUGCAUUACCGAGCCAGACAAGAGGAAAAGAAGCUUUAUCAACAGACCUCCUGAAGAAGCUGGCCGUGAAGGGAGAAGAGUGGCACAAGGGGCUCGAUGGUGUGCCAGGAGGUGGGAGGCGGACACAGUGGGAAUGGGGCAGGCUGAGGGGGUACAGCCGCAGCUCAACAGCAGCCCGCAGCCGGAGGCGAUGCCGCAAACCAAGAGCUGAAGGAAGUCAGCAGGGUUUGUUCCGGUAUGAUACAAAUAUAUGCCACAGAUACGCACACACAUCCCUUUGAGUAUGUGGGCAUGAAGUAGAGUGCUAACUUUCGACGUGCCCUCGAGCUGUCUUUGCCUAGAGGAUGAACACGCUUGCACCUGAAGGACACCGUCUGCGGAGGUUUCCCCCCUUCUCAGCGGCUGCCACAGCCACCCUGCGAGAGCAGCCGGUCAGCCUCAGUGCCACCCUGCAGCUGCAGCGACUAAUUAACUGAGCCAUUUCACAGAACAGCUUAUAUUUCUAUUUGUUCCUCCUCUCGGAGGGCCUAUGGCUGCUGCUGCACCAGCCCAGCACAGGGGGCUCCCGGCACUGCUCGUGCUGCUGGGCUCUGAGCGGGUGCAAGCAUUGGCUGCGGCGCCAGUGCAGGGUUAUAUAAAGCAGAAGGGGUUUAUAUAAGCCUAUUUUAUCUGCAAAUCAUUUAUAUUUAGAACACCUAUUUCUACUGGAAACCCUAAAAGCGUGUUACAUAAGAGCCUGAUAAAUCCUUUGGCUUAAGGUUUCGGCAGGGGGAGGGGGUGCUCAGCGCCUGGUGCGUUCAGGAUCCGUUUUGUAACCAGAGUCUCAAUGUGCCAUUUACAGCUGGUCUUGAAAUCCUUUCUGCUCUCACUCCACAAUACCUUGACAAUAGCAGAACACUUCACUGCAUAGAAAUUUCCCUCUCCUUCAGUGCUGCUCUCAUUUGGAGAUUUUCUCUGGGUGUUUUGCCAGCACGGCCGAGAAGGCAGUUCAGUACUGCCAGGCAAGUGUCCCGGUGCACGUGGCACUGCUUGCUGCCUUUGGGAAUGUCAUGGGCAUUGCCCAGCGGUAGCAGUGCUAUCCUCAGAUCUGCAGAAGGCACUGGCUGCAGCCUUCAUUUAGCAAUACAAAAAGAAGGGGCUGACUUACCUUGCCGUUGGUAUGAGAAUAUUUUCUAAUGAACUAACUAUUCCUCAAACCAUCUCUUUGUGGGGAAGGGAGGAAAGAUUAUGGCAGUGGUCAUAAAAUACACAUGUAAGUGCAGAGCGGGCAGCUGCACUGCUUUGGCUUUACGUCCACGUGGCUGCAGAAGCUGGCCGUACCUGGGACUGUGCUGUUGGGCAAAGCCAUGAGUUCUGCGAGGGUAAAUGGCACAAGGAGCCUGGAUCACCCAGCCCCAGGCAGGGGAAGGACCAUCCUGCAUUUUGUGCUGUCUCCUUUCCAUCUUCCUCCCAGGUGUUGGAGCCCUGGGUCCUGUGAGCAGCAGGCAGUGGCCGUGGCUCCCCAGCUGUGUGGCACCAUCUCCCACGGGACGUGUGACACCCCCCGCCCACACCAUCGCGGAUCAAGUGUCUUAAGCAAAUUCUUGUCAUAGUUUGUUUGAGCCAGACACUGUAAAUUGGAUUAGUGUGGUGCCAGGAGAGAUUUCUAGAGUGAAAUAUUUAAAACUAGCACUAAUGGGAACCAGUCUAUGGGCUGCCACUGGACAGUCUCUGCCCUGCCAGUGAGUGCAGGGGCUCCUGCAGCUGCUGCCGCUGGUGCCUGUGGGCUCGGGUAUUGUGGAGCAGGCACCCAGGAGAGCCUCUGCAAUUGGAAAGUGGGCUGCAAGGAGCAAAAAUUCACAUUGGACCCUGCAACAGUGAUCUGGAGGGAAGAAAAAAAAAUGCCUUGGGGCUGAUUUGCAGUGGGAGCUGCAGGUGGGGUGUGCAUCUAACUGCCUGUGUGCCCAGCAGUCAGGCCUCCAGCUCCAGCCAGUUAUUCCAUUGCAAGCAGUCCGUCACCUUCCAUUAUUUCUCACCUGUCGUAAAAGUGAUGUGGCUGGAACAGAUGAAACACAAAAUUGUCAGUAUUUGGACAAUUUUAUGGAUGUGGAGCACAAAUCUGUCUCAUGGUUUGAGCACAGAAGAUGAGAAAUAGAGCCUGUGGAAAAUACUAGGGACACUGGCAUCCUAAGGACUUUAACUAUCCAAAAAGCUGAUGAGAAAAGCAACAACUAUUCAAUGGGAAACCAAGCCCACAGCGUAUUCACUGCAGGACCUGCAUGGUGCUGGACAGAGCCAGAAAGGUGCUGCGUUUAUUCCUCUGCUGAAGGCUACAGAGCUCCUGGCCACCACAGGUGCUGGUCCAGCCAGCGUGCCAGGGCUCUGGGAGGAGAGGCGGUGGCUGCAGAGGAACUGCUCCGUGCCGGCCACAGCCGAGGGGGUUAAUCCGACCGUGUGGGUCUCACCAAAGCACUCUUCUGUGCCCAUCUGACUCUGCACCAGCACUAGCAAUUCACAGAUUCAAUUAGACCAUGGGAGGUAAAUAAGUGGAUAACAGCUUUGACUCAUGGAAAAUAGCAUUUCUUUUACCUUCAAGAACAAACCAGUUUGGUGUAGCCUCAGAGGUUUCAGUAUGCACUUUGCAAUGGCUCAAUGAACUCUUAAACUAUGGGGUUAAGGCUGAUCUCACGCUUGCUUCUGAGCACAGUUUAUGCAUGCUGGAGACCGGGCCUGCUGCUGCAAGCAGCACAGAGCUCCUGCUUUCCUCUCGUGAGGCUGCCAUGCGCUGCCACAGGGAGCAGAGCACCGCUCGUGGGGCCUGUCCUGGCGAGGGGCCUGCCAGGGGCUCGGCCGGCUGCCCGCGUGGGGCCGCGGGAGCGUCACCGCCACAGCCCGAGCUGCUGCUGACAGCAGGAGCUUCCCCACAGCCCUGCCAUAAAUCCAUGCUGCUGGCAGCCAUUUGAAGGCAGAGACGGUUAGCAAGAGAGAAACGUGGCUGUGUUUUUAUUUUGUCUUACGCUCAAAGGAAGCUGUGCAUCACAGCUCUGAAAGCAGCCCGAGACCAGCUCAGAAGAAACACAGCUCCCCGGUGGCACCCAAGCGUGAAAUCGAGCGUCAUCUUGCUACUGGGCCGUGCCUUUGAGGUUGUAUCAGCUAAAUAAAUGCAACGCCAGGCUGGUGUGUGGUAAACGAUAGUUUACAACCGUCAUCUGAUGAAAAAGAGAGAAGGUGAGGGAGCACAUUUGAGUAAAUGGCCACAGUAAGUCACGUUCUCUGGCCUACCAGCCGCUGCCAGCAGAGCUGCAGGGGUCUGGCACGGGCCUGGAAAGGUCUGAGGAGCGGCAUUUCCCCCCGACCAGCAGGGGUUCGAAAGCCUCCCUGCUCCCCAGGCAGGCCGGCAGCGCUGACUCGCCUCCCUGUGCCCAGCUUUCCAACAUCCUGUUUGCACCGUGGUUAUUUUAACCUCCCUGUUUCUUUCCAUAUUUUUCCUCCUGCCCACGCCAAUGCACGCUGCGAUUUCUGGCAGGCAGGCUAGAAAGCUCCCCGCUAGCAUCUCCCGCGAUGAGCUGAUCUGGUGGCACCACCCUGGCCUGCUGGACAUCCACAGCCCCAGCCGAGCGGAGACUCCAGGCCUGCCCCAUGGCCUCACUCAGCCCAGGGCUACCUCCUUGGCCCAGGGCUACCCCCUUGGCACUUGGCCAUCUCCUCAGCCCGCCCAGCUGAGCGUGGAGCGAGGCAGAGCGCCUCAGGGCAGCUCGGGGCUCUGCUGCUGUGUGCGCAGCCCCCAGCUGAGGGGUGGGAGGGAAGGAGGCACUCGGCAGGCAGAGGCCGCACAACAGAGGAGCAGUUCCAGCCCAGGCGAAACAAGGCUCGUAAGUGUGCAGUCUGCAUAAAACAAGAUCAAAUGGAGAAUCGCGGGAAAUCAACGCAAUACCAUGCGGAUGGGCAUGGCAGAUGAGUGCAGGACAGGAACCAUCUUCUGCCCACGGGGACGCUCCCCAAAACCCUGCACUUUGUGACUCUUCUCCCACCACAGGACUCUUGCAGCUUGCCUACGAAGAACCCAACUCCAUGCUUGGAUUAUCUUUUUUUUUCUAGCAAUAGAUUUAACUCUACAUGAUCCUUGUAAAGCACUUCACUUUCUUUAAUCUUCCCCACAUGAGGGAUUACUUCUGCUUAAUAAACAUGAUGGCCUGGCUGUACCCUCCAACCACCAGGGCACGCGCCCUCCUAGAGCAGGGCUUCACCUGCAGCAGCCAGCAGCAUCUGUCCCAUGCUGCUCCCACAGCACAGCCAGAGCUCAGAGGCAGUCCGCGCUGGACUUAGCCUCAACACCUGACCCUCUGCUGCUUGUGUAAAAUGCUUCCAUUCGACCACAAUGAGUUUCUUAAGUACUGUUGAGUUUGUUGGUUUUUUUUGAAAUACACUUCUGCACAGGAUGUGUUUUUAGCCUGAAUUUCAUUUCCAGUUUCUAAGUACUUUCCUCCCACUCCUUUCAUCCAAUCUCAGAAAAGCUGACUACCACACCAAUUCAAAGCAGUCCCUCCCCUAGGAGAAAGAGCAGAUGUGUUUCCUCCUCCCUCCAGUCCCACGCACACGAAGCAAAGUGACUACACCAACGCUCACAUAACGUGCCCCUUGAAGCACUGUGCCCCAGCUCCCAAGGUGACUGGUUUCUGCCAUGCUCCCUGUUUUAACAGUUGUAGCCAUACUACCUGCCAGAGGAGCAGGGAUGAGAAAAAAAAAAAAAAAAAAAAAAAUGAAGAAUUAAGACACUGUCAUGGAAAAUGUUACAGGAGUUUGCCAGAAGACACAGCUUUAUUGUAUGGCUCAUUAGCUACCUCAGGAAUGGCUCUGAUGGGAGGAACUGGAAAAGAAAGUAAUACUGCUGUUCUAAGGCAUGCUGCAACAGACUCAGUCUGCACAUUUCUGAACAUCCCCUUGCAUCCCACUCCUGAGAUCUCUAUGAAAACGCUCCAGCGGGUUUCUUGGCUGAGGGACACGUAGGAUUACCUUCACUCUAGCUUGCCAGUGACAUGAGGGUGCUUGCAUGCCUGUGCAGCAGUUUUUCCACUUUAAUAUUCUGCCUGAGCAGUUGAUAUAACACCACUGCUCACUUAUAGUCUGGAAUUCAAUUGUCUUUUGAACAGAUAUGGUUAUUGGCACUGUGGUACACACAUACUUUCAGCCAUACCACUACACGUGAUUCUAAGUACAGGCUGUGCACACUGAACAGAAGCACACUCGCAGUCUCCUGGCUGCUCUCUGCAUCCCCAGCAGCAGCACUUCUCACACAGAAUAUGAGCUCAGGCUUCCUUGAGCUCCUUGUCCCCUGUAUGAGGCAAGCAGGCCUGCCUUUGUAGCACAGCUGGCUGUUUUUACAGUGGCAGCUGUUUGUUUUUCACUGUACAAAGCAUCAAAGGACAACAGUCAUUUUUGCUGGCCAUGUUUUUAUUUGUCUUUCGUUUUAAACAGGGGAGCCAAUGAUACAUCCAGUAUUUCAAAAAAUCAGAAGGUAAAACAAAUUUUCAGAAGACCGAGAUGCUACAUGCUAUAUUUAACCUAAUUUUAUUCAUGCUUGCUUUUGAGGGGCAGCGGGAAGGGGGCAGGAAUCAUUCAGUAAAAACAUACAGUAAAAACAAAAUGUCUCACCAUAUAGAACUUUAACCUACAGUAAUGUUGUACCUUAAUUAUUUCCAUGCACACAACUAACAUUACAAUUUUUUUUUUUAAAU